rnacentral:rRNA from 1 species
CAGUCGCCGCGGGAAUACGAAGGGUGCAAGCGUUAAUCGGAUUUACUGGGCGUAAAGCGUGCGUAGGCGGCUUCUUAAGUCGGAUGUGAAAUCCCUGAGCUUAACUUAGGAAUUGCAUUCGAUACUGGGAAGCUAGAGUAUGGGAGAGGAUGGUAGAAUUCCAGGUGUAGCGGUGAAAUGCGUAGAGAUCUGGAGGAAUACCGAUGGCGAAGGCAGCCAUCUGGCCUAAUACUGACGCUGAGGUACGAAAGCAUGGGGAGCAAACAGGAUUAGAUACCCCUGUAGUUCCUGUCUCUUAUAC